rnacentral:misc_RNA from 1 species
AAAAAAAAGACAAGCUGGGCUCUUCCAUGUGUCAAGUCGUUAGGACGCAGUUUUAAUCCGAAUGGAAAUUUCCUGAUGUCGUGCAUGGUCCUUUGUGCUUUAUGUGUGGCUUGGGGUUUGGGACGGAAUCAAACUAACACCGUCAAUUGUUAUUGGCCACUGCAAAGGGGAAACUUGUCGCUCAGUGUCAAAGUGGUUUUCUAUGGACAGCCGCACGCUUAACAGUUAUGCGUCUCUUUCUUGGCGAAUACACGAGGUUGAUUUUGAUAGUAGGUAAGUUAAAUUUAAAUAGCCUGCAUGCUGUUGUCAUAUUAUAAUUUCCAGCUAUGGCAUGACCUUGGCCAAAUUAUUGCAUUUACCAUACGAAUAGAAUUGACACAAGUGAACUGG